rnacentral:tRNA from 2 species
CGGUAGAACAGGUCGGCAGCCAGGCGCCGCUUGUUCGGGCCCAGCGCAGCGGUGUUCCACUCGUCGUCGUCCGG